GGAUGUGAGGGUGAUCUGGCUGUGACAUCUGUCACCCCCUUGAUCGCCAGAGUUGAUUCAGCUGAUCUGGCUUGCUAGGCAGGUGUCCCCCUCCUCCCUCACACCUUCAUGUGUGUCCCUCCAGAAGCUGCGCACUCAAAGAGGAAAGCCUUCCCUGAAUAGAGACCCACUAGGCUUCAGGUCAGGGUAUAUGAGUAGCUGCACUCCCCUGCCAGAACCUCCAAACAAGCUCUCCAGGUGUGCUGAAUACAGUGAGCUUUCCUUUUCCCUGGAGGCACAG
rnacentral:snRNA from 1 species